AAGUGCGAAUGCUGACAUAAGUAACGAUAAAACGGGUGAAAAACCCGUUCGCCGGAAGACCAAGGGUUCCUGUCCAACGUUAAUCGGGGCAGGGUGAGUCGGCUCCUAAGGCGAGGCUGAAAAGCGUAGUCGAUGGGAAACAGGUUAAUAUUCCUGUACUUGGUAAAGCUGCGAUGUGGGGACGGAGUAGGUUAGGUUAUCGCACUGUUGGAUAUGUGCGUUUAAGUUGGUAGGUGGGAAGUUUAGGCAAAUCCGGACUUCCUUAACACAGAGAGAUGAUGACGAGGCUCUACGGAGCUGAAGUAACUGAUACCACACUUCCAGGAAAAGCCACUAAGCGAAAGGCUUUACUAAACCGUACUGAAAACCGACACAGGUGGUCAGGUAGAGAAUACUCAGGCGCUUGAGAGAACUCGGGUGAAGGAACUAGGCAAAAUAGCACCGUAACUUCGGGAGAAGGUGCGCCGGCGUAGAUUGUAAGGGCUAGCCCCUGAAGGUUGAACCGGUCGAAGAUACCAGCUGGCUGCAACUGUUUAUUAAAAACACAGCACUCUGCAAACACGAAAGUGGACGUAUAGGGUGUGAUGCCUGCCCGGUGCUGGAAGGUUAAUUGAUGGUGUAAUCGAAAGAGAAGCACCUGAUCGAAGCCCCAGUAAACGGCGGCCGUAACUAUAACGGUCCUAAGGUAGCGAAAUUCCUUGUCGGGUAAGUUCCGACCUGCACGAAUGGCAUAAUGAUGGCCAGGCUGUCUCCACCCGAGACUCAGUGAAAUUGAAAUCGCCGUGAAGAUGCGGUGUACCCGCGGCUAGACGGAAAGACCCCGUGAACCUUUACUAUAGCUUGACACUGAACAUUGAAUUUUGAUGUGUAGGAUAGGUGGGAGCCUUUGAAGCAGUGACGCCAGUCAUUGUGGAGGCGACCUUGAAAUACCACCCUUUAACGUUUGAUGUUCUAACGAAGAUGACGAAACGUGGUCUCGGACAGUGUCUGGUGGGUAGUUUGACUGGGGCGGUCUCCUCCCAAAGCGUAACGGAGGAGCACGAAGGUUUGCUAAUCACGGUCGGACAUCGUGAGGUUAGUGCAAUGGUAUAAGCAAGCUUAACUGCGAGACAGACAAGUCGAGCAGGUACGAAAGUAGGUCAUAGUGAUCCGGUGGUUCUGAAUGGAAGGGCCAUCGCUCAACGGAUAAAAGGUACUCCGGGGAUAACAGGCUGAUACCGCCCAAGAGUUCAUAUCGACGGCGGUGUUUGGCACCUCGAUGUCGGCUCAUCACAUCCUGGGGCUGAAGUAGGUCCCAAGGGUAUGGCUGUUCGCCAUUUAAAGUGGUACGCGAGCUGGGUUUAGAACGUCGUGAGACAGUUCGGUCCCUAUCUGCCGUGGGCGUAGGAGAAUUGGUUGGGGCUGCUCCUAGUACGAGAGGACCGGAGUGGACGCACCACUGGUGUUCCGGUUGUGUCGCCAGACGCAUUGCCGGGUAGCUAAGUGCGGAAGAGAUAAGUGCUGAAAGCAUCUAAGCACGAAACUUGCCAAGAGAUGAGUUCUCCCAAUCUAAGAGAUUGU
rnacentral:rRNA from 1 species